rnacentral:tRNA from 1 species
CGCCAGGUGUCCGAUCGGCUUAGGUGGCAGCCUGCAAAGCUGCAUAAGGGGGUUCGAUUCCCUCUCUGGCGUCCA